rnacentral:lncRNA from 1 species
UACAAUCUGGUUGUGAAUGUAAGGGAGCCUAACGUUACUCCCAACACCUCAACGCACGACUGUCGAACUCGCAGCAAAAUCCUAAGUGUGGGUCGGUCAGCGGUCGGCCAAAGGGAACGUGGCGGCUGGGCUUCACGGAUGGAAACCGUCGCGAACAGACAGCAAAUCUGAACGGUUACAGCAACUAGUCGGCCGACGUCGAUAGCAGGUGGAGCGGCGGUUGUGAGCGGGAGGGGAGCGUGGCGGUUACUGGUUCACGCGGCGGCCUUGCCUUCGACGGAGACAGAACCGGCGAUGGAGACGGCAGAUCAGCGCGCGGGACGACUGCUGCAAGGUUGCUUCGCGAACCAGAGAUGGAGACGGCAGAUCGGCGCGCGGGCUGCGGCGGGAAGAAAACGGAAGAGAAAAGAUUGGUGGGAGUCGCGGCGCACGGCGGAAGAAGGAAAUAGGGGCGGCGGUUGCUGGGCUGUGACGCAGAUCUGGACUGGGCAGCGGUCACGUGGCGGCCGACGGCUGCUGCGAACGGAAGAAGAAGAGGAAUGGAGGUCGGCCGGUGGCGGUUGCUGCGCUGCGAACGGGGAGAAGGGGAAGGGCGCACGGCGCACGGGAGGAGAAGAGAAGAGAAAAAAAAAAGAAAAAGAAAAAAAAAAGAAAAAGAAGAAAGAAAAGAAAAAAGAAAAAAAUAAUAAUAAAAAAUUUCUUUAUUAUUAUUAUUAUUAUUAUUUUAAAUUAAUAAAAAUAAUAUAUAUACCUUUCCUUUUUUUUUCUUUUUCUUUUGGGCAUUACAUUCUUCCCUCCUUAAGAAACUUUCGUCCUCGAAAGUUUUAAUCCUGAAAUAACUCUGGAUAACGAGUCCUCAUCUCUUCCUCUCGCUCCCAUGUCGCCUCUUCAAUUCGAUGAUUCCACCACAAAACCUUUACUAAUGGAAUGCUUCUAUUACGAAGCAUCUUCACCUCUCUAGCCAGAAUCUCCACAGGUUGUUCUACAUAGCUCAAAUGCUCAUCAAUCUCCAAGGGUUCAUAGUCCACUACAUGAGAUGUAUCGGCCACAUAUUUCCUCAACAUCGAAACAUGGAAAACAUUAUGAACUGCAGAGAGUGAUGGUGGUAAUGCCAAGCGAUACGCCACAACACCAACCCUCUCUAAGAUCUCAAAUGGUCCAACAAAACGAGGACUUAACUUCCCUUUCUUCUCAAAACGCAUAACACCCUUCAUUGGUGCUACCUUCAAGAAUACCUUUUCUCCCACAUCAAACUUAAGGUCUUUUCGCCGUACAUCUGCAUAACUCUUCUGUCUACUCUGCGUUGUUUGCAUACAUGUUCUAAUAUUUUGAAUAGCCUCAUUAGUAGACCGAACUAAUUCAGGUCCCAUCAACCUAUGUUCACCAACCUCACUCCAACAAACAGGGGUUCUACAACAUUUGCCAUCCAAAGCCUCAAAUGGUGCCAUACCGAUGGUAGCCUGGAAACUGUUGUUAUACGCAAACUCCAUCAAAUGUAGAUGAGAGUCCCAACUACCUGGAAACUCUAGAACACAAGCUCGUAGCAUAUCCUCUAAAACUUGGUUCAAACGUUCAGUUUGACCAUCAGUCUGUGGAUGAAAGGCUGUACUGAAAUCCAAUCUCGUACCCAUAGCAGUCUGAAGUCCCUUCCAAAACUUGGAAGUAAACCGUGCAUCCCUAUCAGAAACAAUCGAUACAGGCACUCCAUGCAGUCUCACAAUCUCAGUUAAAUACAACUCUGCCCACUUACUAGCAGUAUAAGUGGAUUUCCCUGGUACAAAAUGUGCCGAUUUCGUAAGCCUGUCUAUGACAACCAAAAUCACUGUGAAACCCUUCAGGGUCUUAGGCAGCCCUGAAAUAAAAUCCAUCGACACAUUCUCCCACUUCCACUCUGGCACACUUAAAGGUUGUAACAAACCUGCUGGUUUCUGUCUAGGUGCCUUAACCUGCUGACAUACUAGACACUUACUAACAAAUUCCGCCACUUCCCUUUUCAUAUUCCGCCACCAAUAAAAACGUUUUAGAUCCUAAUACAUUUUCGUACUACCAGGAUGCAUGGAAAAUGGGGAAUUAUGGGCUUCAUCUAGUAAAUCAAUCUUAACUGUACUGUUCGCUGGCACACACAAACGUCUCUCAAACAUCAACCCACCAUCAGAGGAUAUGGAGAACUCAUCAGUCUGUCCCAUUCCAACAAGGCGACGUCUCUCUAUCAAAUAAGGAUCACUACUAUGAGCAUCAACAAUCUUCUGCCUCAGAGUCGGUUGCACCGUUAAUUGAGCUAACUGUGAGGUGACUCUCCCCACAGAUACUGCAAUCUCAACUCUCUCCAAGUCUCGAUGCAAUGGCACCUGUCUAGUAAUGAGUGCUGCCGAAUGUGAUACUUUUCUACUAAGAGCAUCAGCCACCACAUUCGCCUUACCAGGAUGGUACAAUAUCUCGCAGUCAUAAUCCUUUACCAACUCGAGCCACCUUCGUUGUCUCAUAUUCAACUCCUUCUGAGUGAAGAAGUACUUUAGGCUCUUAUGGUCAGUACAGAUUUGUAUCUUUUCACCGUACAAAUAAUGUCUCCAUAUCUUCAAUGCAAAAACCACUGCUGCCAACUCCAAAUCAUGUGUGGGGUAGUUCUGCUCGUGACUCUUCAACUGACGAGAGGCAUAAGCAACCACCUUACCUUUCUGCAUCAAAACACAACCCAGUCCUUUCUUGGAAGCAUCACUGUAAAUCACAAAACUUCCACAUCCAUCUGGUACAGUAAGGACCGGUGCAGUAACUAACCUUUGCUUUAAGUUCUGAAAACUAUCCUCGCAAGCUGGACUCCAUACAAACGGAGUUCCCUUCCUUGUCAACUGAGUCAAGGGAGUAGCCAAACGUGAAAAAUCCUCCACAAACCUCCGGUAGUACCCUGCUAAACCCAGAAAACUACGAACCUCACUAACUGUAGAGGGUCGAGACCAACUGGUAACCGCUUCUAUCUUUGCAGGGUCUACUGAAACUCCCUCACUGGAAACCACAUGACCAAGAAAAGCCACCUGCUUCAACCAAAAUUCGCACUUAGAGAAUUUAGCAUACAUUUAUUGACUCGAAGAGUCUCUAACACCUUAUGUAAGUGUUCCUCAUGUUCGGCCUCAGUCUUGGAAUAAACCAAAAUAUCAUCAAUGAAGACUAUCACAAAAGUGUCUAAGAAAUCCUUAAACACCCUGUUCAUCAAAUCCAUAAAUACAGCAGGUGCAUUAGUCAAACCAAAAGACAUUACUAUGAAUUCAUAAUGUCCAUACCUCGAACGAAAAGCAGUCUUAGGAAUAUCACGGUCUCUAAUCCUCAACUGGUGAUAACCUGACCGUAAGUCAAUCUUAGAGAACACCGUGGCUCCCUGUAACUGAUCGAACAAAUCAUCGAUUCUGGGUAAAGGAUAUCUGUUCUUGACUGUUACUUUAUUCAACUCUCUAUAGUCAAUGCAAAGACGCAUCGACCCAUCCUUCUUCUUCACAAACAAUACUGGUGCACCCCAAGGUGACACACUAGGUCGAAUAAAGCCUUUGUCAAGCAAUUCCUGUAACUGUACCUUCAGUUCUUUCAACUCAGCAGGAGCCAUCCUAUAAGGGGCUCUAGAAAUAGGAGUAGUGUCUGGCUCCAACUCAAUGGCAAAAUCAACCUCUCUAUGUGGCGGUAGUCCUGGAAGAUCUUUUGGAAAUACAUCUGGGUAUUCUCUUACCACAGGUUCUGAAGUUAAAGAAGUCUCACCUUCCCUAGUAUCCACCACACUUGCCAAAAUACUCCAAGUACCCUGGUUGAGUAGUUUACUAGCUUUCAUAGCUGAGAUUACUUUAGGCAGUACUACUGUUCCUACCCCCUUGAAUUUAAAGCUAGAUGCAGUAGGGGGACUGAACACAACUUCCUUACGAGAACAAUCAAUACUAGCAUGAUUAGUAGCUAGCCAAUCCAUACCUAAAAUUACAUCAAAGUCACGCAUAUCUAAUACCAACAAGGUUACGUCCAGCACACGACCAGCUAUCUCAAUUUCACAUGCUUUAAUCUUUUCCUUAGACAACAUAAUUUCUCCAGACGGUGUAGACACUGACAAAACAUAGUCUAAGGGUUCCACCUCUAAGCAUGCAUGCGUCACAAAAAGCGAUGAAAUAAAUGAAUGAGAAGAUCCCGAGUCAAAUAAGGUCAAGGCAAAAUGCCCUAACACUGGUAGUGUACCUGUCACCACUGUGCCGGCCUUCUCUGCCUCUGAUCUAUUAGUGGCAAAGAUUGUACCCCGCUGUGGAGGUCUCUCUCCCUGACUGCUCGAUCCAGCCCCAGUAGAUCUCAAGGGACACCUAUCAGCCAUGUGUCCCUCUUGCUUGCACUUAUAACAGACUCUCGUUCCCAUCAAACAACGACCCAGGUGGCGUUUCCCACACGUAUUACAUAGUGGCUUCUCUCGAGUAGCGUCUCCUGCCCCGCCAGAACUCUGCUGGAAACUGCGAAAAGGAUCGCCUGGUCUCAAGUUCCUCUGAGAAACUCCUACAGUUCUCUGCUCUACUUUUCUCUUUUGACCCGACGACGAUCCCUUAUCAAAGCUCCUUGGCCGUAUUUCAUCCUUCCCAAUGCUUAUAUCCACUGCCAGACGCAGUGCUUCAGCCUGGGUAGUGGGCUUUAGUGCUCGCACAAAGCCCCUAAUUUCAUCUCUCAAUCCCUUGACGAACCUAUCAGCUCUAGCCUCAUUACUAACAAGCUCAGGGGCAAAACGUGACAGCAUAUCAAACUCCUGGUCGUAGUCCUCGACUGUCAUAUAUCCUUGCUUCAACUCCAAGAAUUCCUGGCUUUUGGCGUCUCUAAGGUUAGCCGAGAAAAACUUGGUAUAGAAGCAGUCCUUAAACUGAUCCCACGUAAUCUGCCUCACAUCUCCACCUAGCAUGCGCAUUGUAGUCCUCCACCAGAUAAUGCCUCUGUCCCUCAGUAGAAAAGCAGCACAGUGAACUCUGUGCUCCUCGGGACAUCUCAUGUAAUUAAAUAUGGUUUCCACAGAGACAACCACAAUUCAGCUUUAGUAGGAUCCUCCAAUGACCCAUCAAACGUCUGAGGGUCAUAUUUCCGAAAGUCCCUCAAAUGUUUCGCCUCAGCAGAAAGUUGGUUCGGUAAUAUCUGCGGCUGUUGUGCAGCAAAUCCUUGUGCAGGAGGGGCUGCUGGUGCAGGGGGAACUACAGGUGCAGGUGGAACCGCAGGUGCCUGCUGGUUUUGAGCUAUAGCCGUCAUAAGUUCCGUAAACCUCUGCUCCAUGUGAGCAGACAGUGCAUCAAACUCGACGUGAGUCACGGGUGCAGCAGGAAUUCGCUGUUCAGCUUGACCCUCAGUAGGCUGAUUACGACCUGCUCCUCUACCUCAGCCUCCUACUCCUCUACCUCGGCCUCCUGCUCCUCUACCUCGGCCUCUACGACCUCCUCUACGUACGUCUUCCCUUGGCGGCAUAAUUUCUAUUAUCCACCAACAACACUCUUUAACAAAAUCUUAAUCAUAAACAUAAGCAAGUCUUUAUCGUCAUGCAAUCUAGUUUAAUUUAGCCAAGGUCAUGCAAAUAAACCAUACAUAUAAGCAUCAAGCAUACCUGACGAGAGACGAAGGGUCGCGUUAGCCAUAGGAACACAAAAACAUAGACUUACAUCGUAAGUCAGUCUACAGAACCUAAAACUUAGGCUCUGAUACCAACUGUAACGACCCAACUUUUCUAAGUAAGUCGAGAUCGUUAAUUUUUAACAAGUAAAGACUUUGAUUAAUAUAAAACAAAACGUAAGCAAUUUAAAAAAAAAAACAUCUUCAAGUCAGGACUGAUUUAUAAACAUUCAAGAAAACAUAAAAUAAUACUAUUUACAACAAACGUUUGUAAACUAAAUUUCAAUUCAUUUUAAACCUCACAAGAAUCCAUAAGCGGAAGCAAAAACACGUUUCCUAUGGUAUCACGCUUCCUUCUUGCCCCUCGCCGGUUUGCCGCUUUUAUUACCUUUGCCUGAAAAUUAAACAUAAGAAGGGUGAGUAUUUAAAUACUCAGUAAGAGACCCUCUACUGGUCCCGUCAGGGGAAAAUAAAUUGUUAACGUUCUAUUGGGACACCCUGUACAGUCGCAGUCUUGUGAUCCCGUAGGAUACACAUCUCAGUCUAACGCCCCGAGGGACGUACAUAUCAGUCUAGUGUUCUGCAGAAACACAUAUCAGUCUAAUGCUCCCGAAGGUGCAAAAUAAAUUGGUGAUCCCGAGGGACACCUACAAGGUAUACAUCCCAAUAAAACUAAUAAUUUUCCACUCAUUCCAUUCAAUCCAUCUUUCAGUUACUUCAAAACAUAAAAUUCUUUCCCUCAACAUCCUAACAACCAACUUAUUUUACUUUAGUCAUCUGUCCGUCAAUAAUAUACUAAUACGUCAGUCAAUCAACUAUACAGUCAAUGCACUCCUCAGUUCACCAGCACACAAUCAUACUUUAGCGUAAUCAUACACCCAAUCUAAACGAGAAUCACAAGUUCAUAUCUACAUCUCAUACAAACACAAUCUACAAUCUUCGUCCUGUCCACAUACACACACUUAUAUAUAUGUUCCAUGACAAUCACGAUAUACAUUCGACGUUAAGUCUACUUCAAUUCAUAUGCAUUCAUAUAUAUUUUCAGUCAAACCACAGUAUACAUUCAACACAUACAAUUCACAAUUCACAGUCUUAAGUGAGUCUAGUAGAAAAUCCCUUACCUCAAAGUUAGGGAAGCUCCUUAAUCACUAACGUCCUCGAAACAAUCCUAAGCAUAACAACACAAAAUUCAAUUACUUUCACGAUACAUAUCCCACUUAUUUUCCUCAACGUAAGUUUCAACUCACCGAUAUAAUGGCGAACUGAACCUUCAACAAUUCACAAUCUGGUUGUGAAUGUAAGGGAGCCUAACGUUACUCCCAACACCUCAACGCACGACGACUGUCGAACUCGCAGCAAAAUCCUACGUGUGGGUCGGUCAGGUCGUUGGCCAAAGGGAACGUGGCGGCUGGGCUUCACGGAUGGAAACCGUCGCGAACAGACAGCAAAUCUGAACGGUUACAGCAACUAGUCGGCCGACGUCGAUAGCAGGUGGAGCGGCGGUUGUGAGCGGGGAGCGUGGCGGUUACUGGUUCACGCGGCGGUUGUGAGCGGGGAGCGUGGCGGUUACUGGUUCACGCGGCGGCCUUGCCUUCGACGGAGACAGAACCGGCGAUGGAGACGGCAGAUCAGCGCGCGGGACGACUGCUGCAAGGUUGCUUCGCGAACCAGAGAUGGAGACGGCAGAUCGGCGCGCGGGCUGCGGCCGGGCUGCGGCGGGAAGAAAACGGAAGAGAAAGGAUCGGCGGCUGGCUGCGGCUGGGCUGCGGCGGGAAGAAAACGGAAGGGAAAAGAUCGGUGGGAGUCGCGGCGCACGGUGGAAGAAGGAAAUAGGGGCGGCGGUUUCUGGGCUGUGACGCAGAUCUGGACUGGGCAGCGGUCACGUGGCGGCCGACGGCUGCUGCGAACGGAAGAAGAAGAGGAAUGGAGGUCGGCCGGUGGCGGUUGCUGCGCUGCGAACGGGGAGAUGGGGAAGGGCGAACGGCGCACGGGAGGAGAAGAGAAAAGAAAAAAAAAAAAGAAGAAAGAAAAGAAAAAAGAAAAAAAUAAUAAUAAAAAAUUUCUUUAUUAUUAUUAUUAUUUUAAAUUAAUAAAUUAAUAUAUAUACCUUUCCUUUUUUUUUUUUCUUUUUCUUUUGGGGCAUUACAAAAACCCCAAAAUUAAGACAAAAAUAAACCAAAACCUAGAUUGGAAACGGGCUCUCCAACUUAGCCGGCGAGUGUUUGAAAUUAGGAACCAUGGAGUUAGGAUCUAACGAUGAAGAUUUUUCUUUGGAAGACAACUUGGGUUUUCGAGGGGCUCUGUCGCCCUUGAUUAUGACUCUGUUAGGG